AUGCUGCUGCUGGCAGCGCUUGUGGCCACAGCUGCUUGGUCUUAUGGAUUUGCACAAGAAAUUCCCAUGCAGAGCCCUCUGUCCAUCACCAAGUCUAAAGGGACUGUCCGCCUGGAAUGUCAUUUCAAAGACUUCUCUGGAGAUUUUGAUGGCACCCCCAUACACUGGUAUCAACAGAAGGCGAAUAAUGGUCCACAGAGAAUUCUCUACUCAGCAUGGACAACAAUAACAGAUGCGGGCUUCCAAGCACACAGGUACAGGGUUGAAAAAAAUUCAAGACAGAAACUGUGUAUGCUUACAAUAAUUGAUGUCAUUCCAGAUGACACUGCUACCUACUAUUGCGCCUACUGGCAUCGUCACCGUGGCAGGAACUCUGAGAUCCCCGAGACAAAUACUCCCUCAGCGUCUCAACCACAAACAACUUGA